rnacentral:rRNA from 1 species
AGCGAACGCUGGCGGCAUGCCUAACACAUGCAAGUCGAACGAGACCUUCGGGUCUAGUGGCGCACGGGUGCGUAACGCGUGGGAACCUGCCCUUAGGUUCGGAAUAACUCCCCGAAAGGGGUGCUAAUACCGGAUCAUGUCUUCGGACCAAAGAUUUAUCGCCUUUGGAUGGGCCCGCGUUGGAUUAGCUAGUUGGUAGGGUAAAAGCCUACCAAGGCGACGAUCCAUAGCUGGUCUGAGAGGAUGAUCAGCCACACUGGGACUGAGACACGGCCCAGACUCCUACGGGAGGCAGCAGUGGGGAAUAUUGGACAAUGGGCGAAAGCCUGAUCCAGCAAUGCCGCGUGAGUGAUGAAGGCCUUAGGGUUGUAAAGCUCUUUUACCCGGGAUGAUAAUGACAGUACCGGGAGAAUAAGCUCCGGCUAACUCCGUG